AUGAACGCUGGCGGCGUGCCUAAUACAUGCAAGUCGAACGAGUUCUCGUUGAUGAUCGGUGCUUGCACCGAGAUUCAACAUAGAACGAGUGGCGGACGGGUGAGUAACACGUGGGUAACCUGCCCUUAAGUGGGGGAUAACAUUUGGAAACAGAUGCUAAUACCGCAUAGAUCCAAGAACCGCAUGGUUCUUGGCUGAAAGAUGGCGUAAGCUAUCGCUUUUGGAUGGACCCGCGGCGUAUUAGCUAGUUGGUGAGGUAAUGGCUCACCAAGGCGAUGAUACGUAGCCGAACUGAGAGGUUGAUCGGCCACAUUGGGACUGAGACACGGCCCAAACUCCUACGGGAGGCAGCAGUAGGGAAUCUUCCACAAUGGACGCAAGUCUGAUGGAGCAACGCCGCGUGAGUGAAGAAGGCUUUCGGGUCGUAAAACUCUGUUGUUGGAGAAGAAUGGUCGGCAGAGUAACUGUUGUCGGCGUGACGGUAUCCAACCAGAAAGCCACGGCUAACUACGUGCCAGCAGCCGCGGUAAUACGUAGGUGGCAAGCGUUAUCCGGAUUUAUUGGGCGUAAAGCGAGCGCAGGCGGUUUUUUAAGUCUGAUGUGAAAGCCCUCGGCUUAACCGAGGAAGCGCAUCGGAAACUGGGAAACUUGAGUGCAGAAGAGGACAGUGGAACUCCAUGUGUAGCGGUGAAAUGCGUAGAUAUAUGGAAGAACACCAGUGGCGAAGGCGGCUGUCUGGUCUGUAACUGACGCUGAGGCUCGAAAGCAUGGGUAGCGAACAGGAUUAGAUACCCUGGUAGUCCAUGCCGUAAACGAUGAAUGCUAGGUGUUGGAGGGUUUCCGCCCUUCAGUGCCGCAGCUAACGCAUUAAGCAUUCCGCCUGGGGAGUACGACCGCAAGGUUGAAACUCAAAGGAAUUGACGGGGGCCCGCACAAGCGGUGGAGCAUGUGGUUUAAUUCGAAGCAACGCGAAGAACCUUACCAGGUCUUGACAUCUUUUGAUCACCUGAGAGAUCAGGUUUCCCCUUCGGGGGCAAAAUGACAGGUGGUGCAUGGUUGUCGUCAGCUCGUGUCGUGAGAUGUUGGGUUAAGUCCCGCAACGAGCGCAACCCUUAUGACUAGUUGCCAGCAUUUAGUUGGGCACUCUAGUAAGACUGCCGGUGACAAACCGGAGGAAGGUGGGGAUGACGUCAAAUCAUCAUGCCCCUUAUGACCUGGGCUACACACGUGCUACAAUGGAUGGUACAACGAGUUGCGAGACCGCGAGGUCAAGCUAAUCUCUUAAAGCCAUUCUCAGUUCGGACUGUAGGCUGCAACUCGCCUACACGAAGUCGGAAUCGCUAGUAAUCGCGGAUCAGCACGCCGCGGUGAAUACGUUCCCGGGCCUUGUACACACCGCCCGUCACACCAUGAGAGUUUGUAACACCCGAAGCCGGUGGCGUAACCCUUUUAGGGAGCGAGCCGUCUAAGGUGGGACAAAUGAUUAGGGUG
rnacentral:rRNA from 1 species